GUUUUAGUAGUUUAUAAAAACAUUGGUCUUGUAAGCCAAAAUUAGGGUUUCCCUCUAAAACU
rnacentral:tRNA from 1 species